GGCCCGUUGGUGAAGCGAUUUAACACUCACGCCUCUCAAGCGUGCAUUCAUGGGUUUGAAUCCCGUACGGGUCACCA
rnacentral:tRNA from 1 species